rnacentral:rRNA from 1 species
GACGAACGCUGGCGGCGUGCUUAACACAUGCAAGUCGAACGGAAAGGCCCUGCUUUUGUGGGGUGCUCGAGUGGCGAACGGGUGAGUAACACGUGAGUAACCUGCCCUUGACUUUGGGAUAACUUCAGGAAACUGGGGCUAAUACCGGAUAGGAGCUCCUGCUGCAUGGUGGGGGUUGGAAAGUUUCGGCGGUUGGGGAUGGACUCGCGGCUUAUCAGCUUGUUGGUGGGGUAGUGGCUUACCAAGGCUUUGACGGGUAGCCGGCCUGAGAGGGUGACCGGCCACAUGGGACCGGAGUGAGGGCCCAAACACCGACGGGGGGGAGGGGGGGGGAAUAUGGAAAAGAGGGGGGAAGCCUGAGGGAGCAACCCCGGGGGCGGGAGGGAGGCCUGCGGUUGGAAAGCCCCUUUACCUUGAGCCGAAGGGUGAGGAAAGGAAAGGGGAAAAGAAGCCCCGCCAAAUUCGUG